GUCAAGUUACAAAGGGCUCACGGUGGAUACC
rnacentral:rRNA from 1 species